GACGAACGCUGGCGGCGCGCUUAACACAUGCAAGUCGAACGGAAAGGCCUGCUUUCCCUUGUGGAUUGCGGGUACUCGAGUGGCGAACGGGUGAGUAACACGUGAGUGAUCUGCCCCCAACUUGGGUAUAAGCCUGGGAAACUGGGUCUAAUUCCCGAUAGGACUGCAGGGUGGUGCCUGUGGUGGAAAACGAUUUUCUAGUGGUUGGGGAUGAGCUCGCGGCCUAUCAGCUUGUUGGUGGGGUAAUGGCCUACCAAGGCGGCGACGGGUAGCCGGCCUGAGAGGGUGGACGGCCACAUUGGGACUGAGAUACGGCCCAGACGCCUACGGGAGGCAGCAGUGGGGAAGAGUGCACAAUGGGCGGAAGCCUGAUGCAGCGACGCCGCGUGGGGGAUGACGGCCUUCGGGUUGUAAACUCCUUUCGACCGCGAGGAAGCCACCUGGUUGGAAGGGUGGUGACGGUAGUGGUAGAAGAAGCACCGGCUAACUACGUG
rnacentral:rRNA from 1 species